UUGCAAUGAUGAAAGAGAUUUCCAAAACCAUUCGUAGUUUCCACCAGAGGUUGAAAGACCUAUGUUGGCUCCAAGUACCUUCCUUGGAUGUCUGAGCGA